AAUGAACGUUGGCGGCGUGGAUUAGGCAUGCAAGUCGUGCGAUGAAGCGGUGCUUGCACCGUGGAUUAGCGGCGAAAGGGAGAGUAACGCGUAGGUAUGUACCCCCUGGUCUGGGAUAGCGGCGGGAAACUGCCGGUAAUACCGGAUAACGUCUCCGGACCAAAGGUGUGAUUCCGCCGGGGGAGCGGCCUGCGUCCUAUUAGCUUGUUGGUGGGGUAAUGGCCUACCAAGGCAAAGAUGGGUACCGGGUGUGAGAGCAUGGCCCGGCUCACUGGGACUGAGACACUGCCCAGACACCUACGGGUGGCUGCAGUCGAGAUC
rnacentral:rRNA from 1 species